GCUUCGGUGUCGGAGAAGAGCGGCGAACGGGUGAGUAACACGUAGGUAAUCUACCCUUUGGUGGGGAAUAACCCAGGGAAACUUGGGCUAAUACCGCAUAUGGCCUUCGGGUCAAAGGCUUCGGCCGCCAGAGGAUGAGCCUGCGUCCCAUUACCUAGUUGGUAGGGUAACGGCCUACCAAGGGGACGAUGGGUAGCUGGUCUGAGAGGAUGAUCAGCCACACUGGGACUGAGACACGGCCCAGACUCCUACGGGAGGCAGCAGUGGGGAAUAUUGCGCAAUGGGCGAAAGCCUGACGCAGCCACGCCGCGUGUGUGAUGAAGGCCCUAGGGUCGUAAAGCACUGUCGGGGGAGAAGAAGUUCUGACGGUAUCCCCCAAGAAAGCACCGGCUAACUCCGUGCCAGCAGCCGCGGUAAUACGGAGGGUGCAAGCGUUGCUCGGAAUCACUGGGCGUAAAGCGUACGCAGGCGGUUCGUUAAG
rnacentral:rRNA from 1 species